GUAGAGAGAAGCUUGCUUCUCUUGAGAGCGGCGGAUGGGUGAGUAAUGCCUAGGAAUCUGCCUGGUAGUGGGGGAUAACGUUCGGAAACGGACGCUAAUACCGCAUACGUCCUACGGGAGAAAGCAGGGGACCUUCGGGCCUUGCGCUAUCAGAUGAGCCUAGGUCGGAUUAGCUAGUUGGUGAGGUAAUGGCUCACCAAGGCGACGAUCCGUAACUGGUCUGAGAGGAUGAUCAGUCACACUGGAACUGAGACACGGUCCAGACUCCUACGGGAGGCAGCAGUGGGGAAUAUUGGACAAUGGGCGAAAGCCUGAUCCAGCCAUGCCGCGUGUGUGAAGAAGGUCUUCGGAUUGUAAAGCACUUUAAGUUGGGAGGAAGGGUUGUAGAUUAAUACUCUGCAAUUUUGACGUUACCGACAGAAUAAGCACCGGCUAACUCUGUGCCAGCAGCCGCGGUAAUACAGAGGGUGCAAGCGUUAAUCGGAAUUACUGGGCGUAAAGCGCGCGUAGGUGGUUUGUUAAGUUGGAUGUGAAAUCCCCGGGCUCAACCUGGGAACUGCAUUCAAAACUGACUGACUAGAGUAUGGUAGAGGGUGGUGGAAUUUCCUGUGUAGCGGUGAAAUGCGUAGAUAUAGGAAGGAACACCAGUGGCGAAGGCGACCACCUGGACUAAUACUGACACUGAGGUGCGAAAGCGUGGGGAGCAAACAGGAUUAGAUACCCUGGUAGUCCACGCCGUAAACGAUGUCAACUAGCCGUUGGAAGCCUUGAGCUUUUAGUGGCGCAGCUAACGCAUUAAGUUGACCGCCUGGGGAGUACGGCCGCAAGGUUAAAACUCAAAUGA
rnacentral:rRNA from 1 species